rnacentral:rRNA from 1 species
AGAGUUUGAUCAUGGCUCAGAUUGAACGCUGGCGGCAGGCCUAACACAUGCAAGUCGAACGGUAACAGGAAGCAGCUUGCUGCUUUGCUGACGAGUGGCGGACGGGUGAGUAAUGUCUGGGAAACUGCCUGAUGGAGGGGGAUAACUACUGGAAACGGUGGCUAAUACCGCAUAACGUCGCAAGACCAAAGAGGGGGACCUUCGGGCCUCUUGCCAUCAGAUGUGCCCAGAUGGGAUUAGCUUGUUGGUGAGGUAACGGCUCACCAAGGCGACGAUCCCUAGCUGGUCUGAGAGGAUGACCAGCCACACUGGAACUGAGACACGGUCCAGACUCCUACGGGAGGCAGCAGUGGGGAAUAUUGCACAAUGGGCGCAAGCCUGAUGCAGCCAUGCCGCGUGUAUGAAGAAGGCCUUCGGGUUGUAAAGUACUUUCAGCGGGGAGGAAGGUGUUGUGGUUAAUAACCGCAGCAAUUGACGUUACCCGCAGAAGAAGCACCGGCUAACUCCGUGCCAGCAGCCGCGGUAAUACGGAGGGUGCAAGCGUUAAUCGGAAUUACUGGGCGUAAAGCGCACGCAGGCGGUCUGUCAAGUCGGAUGUGAAAUCCCCGGGCUCAACCUGGGAACUGCAUUCGAAACUGGCAGGCUUGAGUCUUGUAGAGGGGGGUAGAAUUCCAGGUGUAGCGGUGAAAUGCGUAGAGAUCUGGAGGAAUACCGGUGGCGAAGGCGGCCCCCUGGACAAAGACUGACGCUCAGGUGCGAAAGCGUGGGGAGCAAACAGGAUUAGAUACCCUGGUAGUCCACGCCGUAAACGAUGUCUACUUGGAGGUUGUGCCCUUGAGGCGUGGCUUCCGGAGCUAACGCGUUAAGUAGACCGCCUGGGGAGUACGGCCGCAAGGUUAAAACUCAAAUGAAUUGACGGGGGCCCGCACAAGCGGUGGAGCAUGUGGUUUAAUUCGAUGCAACGCGAAGAACCUUACCUGGUCUUGACAUCCACGGAAGUUUUCAGAGAUGGAUUGUGCCUUCGGGAACCGUGAGACAGGUGCUGCAUGGCUGUCGUCAGCUCGUGUUGUGAAAUGUUGGGUUAAGUCCCGCAACGAGCGCAACCCUUAUCCUUUGUUGCCAGCGGUUAGGCCGGGAACUCAAAGGAGACUGCCAGUGAUAAACUGGAGGAAGGUGGGGAUGACGUCAAGUCAUCAUGGCCCUUACGACCAGGGCUACACACGUGCUACAAUGGCGCAUACAAAGAGAAGCGACCUCGCGAGAGCAAGCGGACCUCAUAAAGUGCGUCGUAGUCCGGAUUGGAGUCUGCAACUCGACUCCAUGAAGUCGGAAUCGCUAGUAAUCGUGGAUCAGAAUGCCACGGUGAAUACGUUCCCGGGCCUUGUACACACCGCCCGUCACACCAUGGGAGUGGGUUGCAAAAGAAGUAGGUAGCUUAACCUUCGGGAGGGCGCUUACCACUUUGUGAUUCAUGACUGGGGUGAAGUCGUAACAAGGUAACCGUAGGGGAACCUGCGGUUG